rnacentral:misc_RNA from 1 species
UCGUGCCGACUGACCUCA